AGCCCCCAGCUCCUCCAGGGCGGCGAGCUACUCGACAAGUCGUCAGCGCGGCUGCGCCGCAGGAGCCCGGGAGGCCUUUCGCCCGAGGCGGGCUGCGGGCUGCUGGGGUCUGGUGCGGAGGGCCAACUUCUGGGAAUAACCUGGCUGUGGGCUUAAAAAUCGUAGUCAUUCAUUAUCACGGGCUUCUCUCUCUCGAAUACCUUUAACAUUUAUCGCCUUGUUAGUCUCCACAUCCACCUCCGUGAAAGAGAUGGAGUCUCGCUAUAUUUCCCAGUCUGGCCUCAAACUCCUGAUCUUAAGGGAUCCCCAGCUCAACCUCUCCCAGCAGCUGGGACUACCGGGCUGUCAAAUUUACAUUAACUAUGAGAAUUAAGCAGGAAUUCUCAAGGGUCUCUUUGGAGGCUUACCAAGGACAUCCAGCUGCACAGUGAAGGUGGCUUCUCCUGCUCUAUUCUUGGCAACACAUGCAUAAGCCCCUGCAUCUGAAGCUCUGACUACUUCAAAGAUGAGUGAAUGAAGACCCUUCUCAGACACUAUCAUUUUGUGCAAAUCAUCUGAUUGAACUGUUCUUCCAUUUAGAUACCAUGACACAUCAGGAGCUGGCAGUCCACUCACCUAGAAAGAAAAACACAAGGAGAUGGCAGAAUUUUAAAGUAUUGCAUCACUGAAACCUAUUUGUCCAUAUAUGAAUUUAAACAGUUCCCGUAUCUGAGUGGGUUUGCGAUUGAAAUGCAAAGCAAGAGCUCAAAAGUAUUUAUAAUUUUUUAAACAAAACAUUGGAAAUAAGAUCCUUGAAAUUAACAUAGUAUUUUUAGACUGUCUCAAACCAUAACUCUUUUACAUGCAACCUCAGUCUCUUUAUGAACUCUUAAUUUCUAUAUUUAGAACAUUAAUUUAUGUUACAUUGGUUUCCAUAAGGAAUAUAGAAGUCAUUGCUUUUCUGGCUAAAUGUGACUGCAAAUGAAGUCCCAGAGGCACAUAUAUAUGAGGCUUCCUGAUCUAAUGCGUAAUUUUUCUAAAACAGAGUGUUCUUGAGCUAUAGUUUGGCAUAUAAAUGGCAAUUUGUUAAGUGUUUUUACAUAAACUGUUAACAGUGGAAUCCAAAGCUUUAACACUAACUUGAGUUCAUAAGGAAUCUGGAAAAAAAAUUUUAUAAGGAAAAGUUCUCCAAAAUAAGGAUAAUAAAAAUAUAACCUCUUCUAAAGAGCUUUUCUAGUCUGAGGGACUCUUUUAGGCCAAGAGAAAGCAGGGUGGCUUGAAUUUCUUGAUAGAGGAGAAUUGGAGAGACAUUAUACUUUAAGGCUGGGCACAGUGGCUCACGCCUGUAAUCCCAGCACUUUGGGAAGCCAAGGUGAGUGGAUCGCCUUGAACCCAGGAGUUCUAGACUAGCUGGGCAUGGUGGCACGCGUCUGUAGUUUCAGCUACUAGGGAGGCUGAGUUGGGAUGAUGGCUUGAGCCUGGGAGACAGGUUGCAGUGAGCUGCGAUUGUGCCAUUGCACUCCAGCCUGGGUGACAGAGCAAGACCCUGUCUCAAAAAAAAAAAAAAGGGCAUUGUACUUUAAAAAUUAUAUUGUUCUGAUAGCUUCACUUAUAAAAGUAUUUAUUAGGUAUACCUAUCCACUCAAUUAAUCCUCAUAAUUUUUUGGGGUAUUUGUUAUCCCAUUUUACAGAUGAGGAGACAAAAGCACAGAGAGGUUAAAUGACUUGUCUAAGGUUGCUUAGCUGGAGGAUGGCAGAGCCAGAAUUCAAACCCACAUCAGUUUGACUUCAGAAUUUGUGUUCUUGUCCAUUGUACGUACUGCUUUGCAAGCUAUGAAGUAGGAAAAGAACAUUUUUCAAAACUUAGUAUCCCAUUGUUAAUUUUCCCCCAGUACUUUUGAACCCUUCUCUUACUUUGAAGUCCAUUCUGCAGAAUCUUCCUUCAUCAAUCGACAUGUUCUCUGGCACUUGAAUGAAACGUGGUGGGUAAAAUUUCUCCUGGAUUGCAUCCUGAUCAUUCACAUCUCCCCUUGAGGUUGAUCUACUUCUACAAGAAUAUUUUGGUAACAACUAUGCGUAAAUAUUAUCAUUGCUUUUCAUUUUGCACAAAUAUAGUUUAGCCAUCAAUUUUUUUUUUUCAAUGGAGUUUCACUCUUGUUGCCCAGGCUGGAGUACAGUGGCCCAAUCUCAGCUCACUCAGGAGGCUAAGGCAGGAGAAUCGCUUGAACCCGGGAGGCGGAGGUUGCAGUGAGCCGAGAUCGCGUCGCUGCACUCCAGCCUGGAUGACAGAGUGAGAGUCUGUCUCAAAGAUAAAUAAAUAAAUAAAAAUAUCCAAAUUAAGUUUUUGACGUUUUUCUAUAGUGGUGGUGUGAACAUGUAUAUAGUUAUAUUCAGAGAUGUGGUAUUUCAGUUAUACCAACCUCCGCUUCUUGGGUUCAAGUGAUUCUCUUACCUCAGCCUCCCGAGUAGCUGGGAUUACAGGCAUGUGCCACUACGCCUGGCUAAUUUUGUAUUUUUAGUAGAGAUGGGGUUUCACUAUGUUGGUCAGCCUGGUCUUGAACUCCUGACCUCAGGUGAUCUACCCACCUCGGCCUUCCAAAGUACUGGGAUUACAGGUGUGAGCCACUGCGUCCAGCCUAGCCAUCAAAUUUGAAACCACAGAAUCUACUGUUUGAUCUGAUAGUGUAAUAACAAUGAAGAGAGGCCUUAGGGCUGUAUUUACCUGUGGCAUAUUUGAUGACUAUUAGAAAUGGUAGCAAUUUAGAAACAUCUGGUACAAAUUGUACAUCUUAGUUUCUCUUUUACAGUGCCAUGAAUUGAUGAAGAAAUGGUCUAUUAAAAUGCCCAGUACCCAGCAGAUUAUUCUUACCACCAAAGAUUGUAUAAUAAGAAUUAGGUCUCCAUUGUCAUGAGAAAAUUGUUUAAUAUAGAAGCAUGAUCCUGGCUUAUUUGACCAAAACAUUAAAAAAUUCCCCUGUGAUAGUUUUGAUGAUGAACGUCAAAAUUUUGGUCAUCUUCUCAGACAUUAGAAAAUACACAUUGUAUUUUUCAAAAGGUAUAGAGUAGGCUCGAGGGCUUUAUAAAUAUUACAUUUUUAAGCUGAAAAUAUUUUAGAUAGGAAAACAUACAUUUCUUUAAAAUUAAAAUUUUUUACCUUACUUGUGAUGUAGGAACUUGCAGUCGCGCAUGUUCUGAGUUGUGUUGCUUGAAAUUAAAACAAAGUAAGAAUGUUUACAUGCAAUUGUUAGCUUGAAUGAAGCAGAAUUAAGUAGUUACAGUUGAAAGGAACAUUCCUAUUUUGGCUGUAUUUGAACAGCCCUGGUAAGUUCUAUAUAUUCAGCUUUUAAGCCCUUAAAGUACAGUGCACUAACAUACUACCACUCUAGCAAGAAGCCCAGAAUUAAUGGGACUAUUCAACAAGUAUUAUUUAUGAAAAUUAGCUAGACUUGGAAUUGAUGGUGGUUCAUUUUUCAGAUGACUAUUUUAUGACAAAGGGUGAUGUGUCUCCCUGGUGCAUUUGAAAUGGGAGCACAGAGUACAGAUUGUCCUUUAGUAAAACAGGAAUAGACAUGAAGUCACUUGUAUUGGCAGUAGCUGCAGGGUAUUAUGCCUGCUGCUCAAAAGUGGCACCAACAGCAGUAAACACAUAUUAGACUGGAAAAUUCUUCUCUUUUUAGCUCGUGGCACAAAAUCCUGAUGGACUCCACGAAAGGUAUGUGUAAGGCUUUGAAAAAGCUUUGUAAAAUAGCAUUAAUUCCUGUUUAAUAAAGUUGUAUUUAAGCAGACAUCUUUUAGGAUUUAUAUCCGAACAGCAGAAAAUUAUUUCUAUUUGAGAAUAAAAUCAGGGAUUUAUGAAAAUUAUAAGAGAACUAAUUGAUUAAGUAGUGUGUAUUUUGCGUUUCACUGUGCUUAGCACAGUGGGAGAUACAAAGUGGAAAACACAGUCCCUACCCAAAGCUCUGUAGGAGCACACAAGAUCUGAGUACAAAUAAUUUGCUUUGGGAUGAAUCUAUUUAGCUAAUGUAUUUUGUCAUUUUUAAGGCAAAAGUCUUACAACUCUGUAACAAUUUUUGGCUAGCCUUAAGGUUCUCUAAGCAAAAUAUCAAGACAACUGGUCAAUUCAGUGAUCAAACAAAUCAACUAAUUUUUUGGUAAAGUAAAAGUAAUCCAAUUAAAAAUAUCCAGGCUGGGCACAGUGGCUCACGCCUGUAAUCCUAGCACUUUGGGAGGCCGAGGCAGGUGGAUCAUGAGGUCAGGAGAUCGAGACCAUCCUGGGUAACAAGGUGAAAUCCUGUC
ensembl:lncRNA PKD2L2-DT PKD2L2 divergent transcript